rnacentral:lncRNA from 1 species
GAAUAUAGGAAUGGCGACCUAUGAGAAUAAUGGUUGCAAGGGCUAAUUAAGACGUGGAGGUUUCUUAUUAUAGAAGCCUAAACCUGAGAACCACUGAACCCAAAAGGGUAGUGGAGAUUGAUCAUGGUCCUCAACCUAGAGGCAGCAACGGCAGACGAUGGUGGACCAAAGUCUCCAAAUUCAGCAAUUUAGAUAGAGGUUUGCAGCAGUAAGUUGCGUUGUCAAACCACUGAAGCUUUCCCUUUCUUAUUUUUAUUUUUUAAUCUUUUUUUUUUUUGUAUAUAACCCGUAGGUUCACCCAAUUGAUUAUUGUGGGUUGGGUUGUCAUGUUUUCCAGCUUAUUCUUUUCCGGUGAGGACUAAGCAAGAUUAAUGAUACGAGCAACAAAUGCAUGCCGUCAUUAUGGAUUUGAGUAACUUUUUUUGGUUGGUUGUUGAUUUCUCUUUGAAUCUUUUUGCCCAAAGUCUCUUUUGAUUGUGUUAGAAUAAGCAGGCAGGUAAUUAUCGACCAAGCAAUCACGUACGAAUUAUUAAGCAAUGAAGAAGAGAAGUUUUCAACAUACUCCGUGACCGAAACAAGAUGUAUUCGUUAGCUUGUAUCUAUAGCCAGCAAAGUCCAUCGUCUAAAAGGCCUAAAUGGCAACAAUAAUUGACAAAGUGCAGUAAUAUCC